GACGAACGCUGGCGGCGUGCUUAACACAUGCAAGUCGAACGGAAAGGCCCUGCUUUUGUGGGGUGCUCGAGUGGCGAACGGGUGAGUAACACGUGAGUAACCUGCCCUUGACUUUGGGAUAACUUCAGGAAACUGGGGCUAAUACCGGAUAGGAGCUCCUGCUGCAUGGUGGGGGUUGGAAAGUUUCGGUGGUUGGGGAUGGACUCGCGGCUUAUGAGCUUGUUGGUGGGGUAGUGGCUUACCAAGGCUUUGACGGGUAGCCGGACUGGGAGGGUGACCGGCCACAGUGGGACUGGGAUACGGCCCAGAGUGCUACGGGGGGCAGCGGUGGGGAAUAUUGCACAAUGGGCGGAAGCCGGAUGCAGCGACGCCGCGUGCGGGAUGACGGCCUUCGGGUUGGAAACCGCGUUCGCCUGGGACGAAGCGUGAGUGACGGUAAUGUGUAAAGAAGCACCGGCUAACUACGUG
rnacentral:rRNA from 1 species